GUGCAAUGGCAUAAGCCAGCUUGACUGCGAGCGUGACGGCGCGAGCAGGUGCGAAAGCAGGUCAUAGUGAUCCGGUGGUUCUGAAUGGAAGGGCCAUCGCUCAACGGAUAAAAGGUACUCCGGGGAUAACAGGCUGAUACCGCCCAAGAGUUCAUAUCGACGGCGGUGUUUGGCACCUCGAUGUCGGCUCAUCACAUCCUGGGGCUGAAGUAGGUCCCAAGGGUAUGGCUGUUCGCCAUUUAAAGUGGUACGCGAGCUGGGUUUAGAACGUCGUGAGACAGUUCGGUCCCUAUCUGCCGUGGGCGCUGGAGAACUGAGGGGGGCUGCUCCUAGUACGAGAGGACCGGAGUGGACGCAUCACUGGUGUUCGGGUUGUCAUGCCAAUGGCACUGCCCGGUAGCUAAAUGCGGAAGAGAUAAGUGCUGAAAGCAUCUAAGCACGAAACUUGCCCCG
rnacentral:rRNA from 1 species